rnacentral:hammerhead_ribozyme from 1 species
GCACUGUUGAAGAGUCCCACAAUAGGACGAAAUGAUCGUCCAGUGC